rnacentral:sRNA from 1 species
UCUAUCAUCCUCAUCU